AGUGAACGCUGGCGGUAGGCCUAACACAUGCAAGUCGAGCGGCAGCACAGUAAGAGCUUGCUCUUACGGGUGGCGAGUGGCGGACGGGUGAGGAAUACAUCGGAAUCUACUUUUUCGUGGGGGAUAACGUAGGGAAACUUACGCUAAUACCGCAUACGACCUACGGGUGAAAGCAGGGGAUCUUCGGACCUUGCGCGAUUGAAUGAGCCGAUGUCGGAUUAGCUAGUUGGCGGGGUAAAGGCCCACCAAGGCGACGAUCCGUAGCUGGUCUGAGAGGAUGAUCAGCCACACUGGAACUGAGACACGGUCCAGACUCCUACGGGAGGCAGCAGUGGGGAAUAUUGGACAAUGGGCGCAAGCCUGAUCCAGCCAUACCGCGUGGGUGAAGAAGGCCUUCGGGUUGUAAAGCCCUUUUGUUGGGAAAGAAAAGCAGCAGGUUGAUACCCCGCUGUUCUGACGGUACCCAAAGAAUAAGCACCGGCUAACUUCGUG
rnacentral:rRNA from 1 species